CCAGAAAGAUGAAGAGGUUUCUCUACAGUCAAUAGUUUCUCAAGGACAAUGACCCAAAGAGGGCCCAAAGUGCCUCCCUCCCACAACAGUAGUGCUUCCACUGCUAUGCUGACCCACCAGAAAGCACCUCAGGCUGAUUUCCAACUGGCAGCAGAUGACUCUUCUGUGCAAGCAGAUGACAUGCAGAUCUCGUCAACACCACCUCCCACGCUGAGUCUCCUGACAACUGCAGCAUCUCGCCAGAAGUAGCCUUCCUAAAACACCUUCAUCAUAACAUUCUCUGAAAAUCUUCUAAUAAGUGUGAGAG
rnacentral:lncRNA from 1 species